UUUAGAAUUUUAGAGCGGCAAAAAACACUGGCAAAUUUGGCAAAGUGCGAGCGAGAGUGAAAAGAAAGGAGAAAAAGAUUAUAAGGACUCGGUUGGUAUGGUUUGGAAAUGGACUCUCUCUAUAUCGUCCGCCGCCAUCUCUCGCUUCGUCUGGAAAGAUCUUAUGCUCCAUCGUUACGCUUUUUCCUCCCAUAUGAAGCGCAAGUUUGAUGCUCUUGAAGAAAGAAUCCUCAAUCUGGAAUCAAUCCCUCCUUUUCACGAUUCUAAUCCCCAAUCCUCAGCAUUGGAGGAGCAACUGAUGGACUGAGCAGAAAAUUGAAGCACAAAAUUUGCGAUCGUGGAGUUACAAGUACAAGCUGAUAAAAUUACACAUACACUCACAGAGAUAGAUAAAGAGAGAGAGAUAUAUUUCCAAAAAAGAUAGAGAAGCAUUGGUGGUGGUUUGUCCCCCAUUAAUGUAAGUUGCUUCUCUGUACAACAUAGAAAAUGAACUUAUCUGAAAACCUUUAGUUGUGCUGUAUUGAAUGAGUUUUACAAUUUUGAACCUUGUCAUUAUGCGCUAUGCUUAUAAUAUUGUUUUAUUUGGUGUGACAGAAA